CAACAGGGAUUGCCCCAGUAACGGCGAGUGAAGCGGCAACAGCUCAAAUUUGAAAUCUGGCUCUCGGGCCCGAGUUGUAAUUUGUAGAGGAUGCUUUUGGUGAGGUGCCUUCCGAGUUCCCUGGAACGGGACGCCAUAGAGGGUGAGAGCCCCGUCUGGUUGGACACCGAACCUCUGUAAAGCUCCUUCGACGAGUCGAGUAGUUUGGGAAUGCUGCUCUAAAUGGGAGGUAUAUGUCUUCUAAAGCUAAAUACCGGCCAGAGACCGAUAGCGCACAAGUAGAGUGAUCGAAAGAUGAAAAGAACUUUGAAAAGAGAGUUAAACAGUACGUGAAAUUGUUGAAAGGGAAGCGCUUGUGACCAGACUUGGGCUUGGUUGAUCAUCCGGGGUUCUCCCCGGUGCACUCUUCCGGCCCAGGCCAGCAUCAGUUCGCCCUGGGGGACAAAGGCAUCGGGAACGUGGCUCUCUCCGGGGAGUGUUAU
rnacentral:rRNA from 4 species